ACGAACCGUACGAACGUUAUUCGGAAUUACUGGGCUUAAAGGGUGCGUAGGCGGCUUGGAAAGUUGGGUGUGAAAGCCCUCGGCUCAACCGAGGAACUGCGCUCAAAACUACCAAGCUUGAGGAAGACAGAGGUGAGUGGAACUUAGGGUGGAGCGGUGAAAUGCGUUGAUAUCCUAAGGAACACCAGUGGCGAAAGCGACUCACUGGGUCUUUUCUGACGCUGAGGCACGAAAGCUAGGGGAGCGAACGG
rnacentral:rRNA from 1 species